GUGGCUGGCGGCUGGGUGCCUUCUACUGGUGCUGUGCAGAGGCUUUCCCUAAGGCUGCUGUGAGCCUGUAGGGUUUCCGCCUAGGCUACGAAGCUGG
rnacentral:pre_miRNA from 1 species